AGCCCUGUAGUGAAGUUCAUGUCGGGUUGCAAACCCGAAGACGUAGGCUAACUGCCUACCGGGGCUU
rnacentral:tRNA from 1 species